GACCGGCGUCGUGCGGAAUCAGCGCGUGAAUCGUGUCAGGUCCGGAAGGAAGCAGCAGUAAGCGAUUGUUGAUUAGCGCUGCGGCAUCACCGGUUGCG
rnacentral:SRP_RNA from 1 species